ACAUGCAGUCGAGGGGCAGCACAAGUGUAGCAAUACUCUGGUGGCGACCGGCGCACGGGCGAUUAUCGCGUAUGCAACCUACCUUCCACAGGGGGAUAGCCUUCCGAAAGGGAGAUUAAUACCGCAUGAAACAGGGGCCCCGCAUGGGGAUAUUUGUUAAAGAUUUAUCGGUGGAAGAUGGGCAUGCGUUCCAUUAGCUAGUUGGGGGGGUAACGGCCCACCAAGGCAACGAUGGAUAGGGGAACUGAGAGGUUUAUCCCCCACACUGGGCAACUGAGACACGGCCCAGACUCCUACGGGAGGCAGCAGUGAGGAAUAUUGGUCAAUGGGCGGGAGCCUGAACCAGCCAAGUCGCGUGGAGGACGACGGUUCUAUGGAUUGUAAACUCCUUUUGCACUGGGGUAAAACGCGGGACGUGUCCCGCCUUGCAAGUACAGUGCGAAUAAGCAUCGGCUAACUCCGUGCCAGCAGCCGCGGUAAUACGGAGGAUGCGAGCGUUAUCCGGAUUUAUUGGGUUUAAAGGGUGCGUAGGCGGCCCCUUAAGUCAGCGGUAAAAUUUCUGCGCUCAACGCAGUCGUGCCGUUGAAACUGGGGGGCUUGAGUCUAGAUGAAGUGGCGGGAUUUGUAGUGUAACGGUGAAAUGCUUAGAUAUUACAAGGGCAACUCCGAUUUGCGCAGCAGCUCACUAAGCUAUCACUGACGCUGAAGCACGAAAGCGUGGGUAUCAAACAGGAAUAGAUACCCUGGUAGUCCACGCAGUAAACGAUGAUCACUCGCUGUCUGCGAUAUUCAGUAGGCGGCCCAACGAAAAGCUUAAAUGAUUC
rnacentral:rRNA from 1 species